GAUGAACGCUGGCGGCGUGCCUAAUACAUGCAAGUCGAACGAUGAACCGGGUGCUUGCACUCGGGGAUUAGUGGCGAACGGGUGAGUAACACGUGAGCAACCUGCCCCUGACUCUGGGAUAAGCGCUGGAAACGGCGUCUAAUACUGGAUAUGUCCCGUCACCGCAUGGUGUGCGGGUGGAAAGAUUUUUCGGUUGGGGAUGGGCUCGCGGCCUAUCAGCUUGUUGGUGAGGUAAUGGCUCACCAAGGCGUCGACGGGUAGCCGGCCUGAGAGGGGGACCGGCCACACUGGGACUGAGACACGGCCCAGGCUCCUACGGGAGGCAGCAGUGGGGAAUAUUGCACAAUGGGCGGAAGCCUGAUGCAGCAACGCCGCGUGAGGGAUGACGGCCUUCGGGUUGUAAACCUCUUUUAGCAGGGAAGAAGCGAGAGUGACGGUACCAGCAGAAAAAGCACCGGCUAACUACGUGCCAGCCGCCGCAGUAA
rnacentral:rRNA from 1 species